rnacentral:rRNA from 1 species
GGGUAAUACCGAAUAAGGUUCGAAUCCUUUGGGGAUUGAAAGAAAGGGGCGUAUGCCUCGCCAGAAGAUGAGCCUGCGGUUGAUUAGCUAGUUGGUGGGGUAAAGGCCUACCAAGGCGACGAUCAAUAGCCGGCCUGAGAGGGUGGACGGCCACACUGGAACUGAGACACGGUCCAGACUCCUACGGGAGGCAGCAGCUAAGAAUCCUCCGCAAUGGGCGAAAGCCUGACGGAGCGAUGCCGCGUGGAUGAUGAAGGUCGAGAGAUUGUAAAAUCCUUUUCCUGAUGAGGAAUAAGUGUUGGAGGAAAUGCCAGCAUGAUGACGUUAGUCAGGGAAUAAGCCCCGGCCAAUUACGUGCCAGCAGCCGCGGUAAUACAUAAGGGGCGAGCGUUGUUCGGAAUUAUUGGGCGUAAAGGGCGUGCAGGCGGCUUGGUAAGUCUGAUGUGAAAGACCGGAGCUUAACUCCGGAGGCGCGUUGGAAACUGCUGAGCUUGAGUCUCGGAGGGGGAGUUGGAAUUCCUAGUGUAGGGGUGAAAUCUGUUGAUAUUAGGAAGAACACCGGAGGCGAAGGCGAACUCCUGGCCGAAGACUGACGCUGAGGCGCGAAAGCGUAGGGAGCAAACAGGAUUAGAUACCCUGGUAGUCUACGCUGUAAACGAUGUACACUUGGUGUUGGGACGC